rnacentral:tRNA from 1 species
GCCUCGAUAGUGUAGUGGUCAUCACGCCCGACAUGCAUGGGUUCGAUUACCGCUCGGGACA